rnacentral:rRNA from 1 species
CUACGGGACGCAGCAGUGAGGAAUAUUGCACAAUGGGGGGAACCCUGAUGCAGCAACGCCGCGUGGAGGAUGACGCAUUUCGGUGUGUAAACUCCUUUUAUAUGUCAAGAAAAUGACGGUAGCAUAUGAAUAAGCACCGGCUAACUCCGUGCCAGCAGCCGCGGUAAUACGGAGGGUGCAAGCGUUACUCGGAAUCACUGGGCGUAAAGAGCGUGUAGGCGGAUUAAAAAGUCAGAAGUGAAAUCCUAUAGCUUAACUAUAGAACUGCUUCUGAAACUCUUAAUCUAGAAUAUAAGAGGGGGAGAUGGAAUUAGUGGUGUAGGGGUAAAAUCCGUAGAUAUCACUAGGAAUACCUAAAGCGAAGGCGAUCUCCUGGAACAUUACUGACGCUAAGGCGUGAAAGCGUGGGGAGCAAACAGGAUUAGAUACCCCAGUAGUC